CAAGUCGAACGAAUGCCAUUUGGGAAACUGGAUGGCGGAAGUGGCGAAAGGGGCAGUAAUACAUGGACAACCUACCCUGGGGAUGGGCAUAGCCGUUCUAACGAGCGGGUAAUUCCCAGAGAUUCGGCGAGUUGGCAUCAAUUUGCCGGGAAAUGAAUUUCGCCUCGGGAGGGGUUCAUGAGCUAUCAGCUAGUUGGUGAGGUAACGGCUCACCAAGGCGUAGACGGCUAGCGGGUGUGAGAGCACGACCCGCGCCACUGGCACUGAGACACUGGCCAGACACCUACGGGUGGCUGCAGUCGAGGAUCUUCGUCAAUGGGCGCAAGCCUGAACGAGCGAUGCCGCGUGAGCGAUGAAGGCCUUCGGGUUGUAAAGCUCAAAAGAAGCGAGAAAGGGAAACUUGAUCAAGCUUCAGUAAGCUCGGGCUAAGUUCGUGCCAGCAGCCGCGGUAAGACGAACCGAGCGAACGUUGUUCGGAAUCACUGGGCUUAAAGGGCGCGUAGGCGGGUGCUCAAGUCCGGGGUGAAAUCCCACAGCUCAACUGUGGAACUGCCUCGGAUACUGGGCGUCUCGAGGGUGGCAGGGGUAUGCGGAACUAUCGGUGGAGCGGUGAAAUGCGUUGAUAUCGAUAGGAACUCCGGUGGCGAAGGCGGCAUACUGGUCCACUUCUGACGCUGAGGCGCGAAAGCCAGGGGAGCAAACGGGAUUAGAUACCCCGGUAGUCCUGGCCCUAAACGAUGGGAACUAGCUAGUAGGGUUCACAUGGCUUUACUGGCGAAGCAAAAGUGCUAAGUUCCCCGCCUGGGGAGUAUGGUCGCAAGGCUGAAACUCAAAGGAAUUGACGGGGGCUCACACAAGCGGUGGAGCAUGUGGCUUAAUUC
rnacentral:rRNA from 1 species